AUUGCCCUAGUAACGGCGAGUGAAGCGGCAACAGCUCAAAUUUGAAAUCUGGCCCUCGGGUCCGAGUUGUAAUUUGUAGAGGAUGCUUUUGGCGCGGUGCCUUCCGAGUUCCCUGGAACGGGACGCCAUAGAGGGUGAGAGCCCCGUCUGGUUGGACACCAAGCCUCUGUAAAGCUCCUUCGACGAGUCGAGUAGUUUGGGAAUGCUGCUCUAAAUGGGAGGUAUAUGUCUUCUAAAGCUAAAUACCGGCCAGAGACCGAUAGCGCACAAGUAGAGUGAUCGAAAGAUGAAAAGCACUUUGAAAAGAGAGUUAAAUAGCACGUGAAAUUGUUGAAAGGGAAGCGUUUAUGACCAGACUUGGGCUUGGUUGAUCAUCCCGCGUUCUCGCGGGUGCACUCUUCCGGCUCAGGCCAGCAUCAGUUCGCUGCGGGGGAUAAAGGCGUUGGGAAUGUGGCUCCCUCGGGAGUGUUAUAGCCCUUCGUGUAAUACCCUGCGGUGGACUGAGGACCGCGCUUCGGCAAGGAUGCUGGCGUAAUGGUCAUCAACGACCCGUCUUGAAACACGGACCAAGGAGUCGUCUUCGUAUGCGAGUGUUCGGGUGUCAAACCCCUACGCGUAAUGAAAGUGAACGCAGGUGAGAGCUUCGGCGCAUCAUCGACCGAUCCUGAUGUUCUCGGAUGGAUUUGAGUAAGAGCAUACGGGGCCGGACCCGAAAGAAGGUGAACUAUGCCUGUAUAGGGUGAAGCCAGAGGAAACUCUGGUGGAGGCUCGCAGCGGUUCUGACGUGCAAAUCGAUCGUCAAAUAUG
rnacentral:rRNA from 1 species